rnacentral:rRNA from 1 species
ACUCCUGCGGGAGGCAGCAGUGGGGAAUUUUGGACAAUGGGCGAAAGCCUGAUCCAGCAAUGCCGCGUGAGUGAAGAAGGCCUUCGGGUUGUAAAGCUCUUUUGUCAGGGAAGAAACGGUGAAAGCUAAUAUCUUUUGCUAAUGACGGUACCUGAAGAAUAAGCACCGGCUAACUACGUGCCAGCAGCCGCGGUAAUACGUAGGGUGCAAGCGUUAAUCGGAAUUACUGGGCGUAAAGCGUGCGCAGGCGGUUUUGUAAGUCUGAUGUGAAAUCCCCGGGCUCAACCUGGGAAUUGCAUUGGAGACUGCAAGGCUAGAAUCUGGCAGAGGGGGGUAGAAUUCCACGUGUAGCAGUGAAAUGCGUAGAUAUGUGGAGGAACACCGAUGGCGAAGGCAGCCCCCUGGGUCAAGAUUGACGCUCAUGCACGAAAGCGUGGGGAGCAAACAGGAUUAGAAACCCCGGUAGUCCCAU